GCGGGUAUGAUGGAAUUGGCAGACAUGCGAGAUUUAGGUUCUCGUGCCGCAAGGCGUUGGGGUUCAAGUCCCCAUACCCGCACCA
rnacentral:tRNA from 1 species